GCCCCGCGUUCUCUCGCUCUUCUGCUCGAGAUCCGCUGGAGGCAGCGGCGGCUGACGGGCUUGCUCGAGCUGUACGACACCGCUCGCAGAAAACUAGCCGACUCGUUGGAGGCAUGGGGGUUGGCGGCGCCUCGGCGUGAUGGCUGCGGCUGCCGCACUUGAGCUGUUGCGCUAUGUGGCUCGAAAUGCGUCUGUAAGGGCCUAUCC
rnacentral:lncRNA from 1 species